UACGUAGGGUGCAAGCGUUGUCCGGAAUUAUUGGGCGUAAAGAGCUCGUAGGCGGUCUGUCACGUCUGCUGUGAAAACUCGGGGCUUAACCCCGGGCCUGCAGUGGGUACGGGCAGACUAGAGUGCGGUAGGGGAGACUGGAAUUCCUGGUGUAGCGGUGAAAUGCGCAGAUAUCAGGAGGAACACCGGUGGCGAAGGCGGGUCUCUGGGCCGUAACUGACGCUGAGACGCGAAAGCGUGGGGAGCGAACAGG
rnacentral:rRNA from 1 species